rnacentral:rRNA from 1 species
UACGUAGGGUGCGAGCGUUAAUCGGAAUUACUGGGCGUAAAGCGUGCGCAGGCGGUUAUGUAAGACAGAUGUGAAAUCCCCGGGCUCAACCUGGGAACUGCAUUUGUGACUGCAUAGCUAGAGUACGGUAGAGGGGGGAUGGAAUUCCGCGUGUAGCAGUGAAAUGCGUAGAUAUGCGGAGGAACACCGAUGGCGAAGGCAAUCCCCUGGGCCUGCACUGACGCUCAUGCACGAAAGCGUGGGGAGCAAACAGG